CUAGUUGGAGAGCUUCUAUGCGUAUGAAGCUUUACUUCUUUAGGUUGAAUUCGUGUUUUAAUCUUAAAGCCACGUAGUUAAAAUUUGGUAUUUUCCUAUUCCUUAUCUCGUCUUUAGGAUUCGGUUAAGCUAUUUAUUUUUUAGGUUGAAUAGAUUGUGUUCAUGUAUACAUUUUAGGAUCAACUAAAGGGUGUGUGUUGUGUGCUAUAUCCCACCCCCCUUCAACGUUUGUUUGCACGCUCAGGAGUUGAGAUUUUGAUCAAAGUUAACUGGAUCAAGAUUUGAUAUUCUUUUUUAUGCCACAGUCAUUUUAUACUUCAUUUCAUAAUUUAUGUAUUCUAAUCCUCUUUCUUUUUAAUGUCUCAUGUACAACCGGAGAGUUGGAGUUUCUACUUUGAAACUCGUUAUUGGCCUAAGACAUUAGGCCAACAGCAAAUUAGGAUCAUCGCAGUGCUUGGGGGCCUCGCAAAUUAGGAGUCCAAUAUUUCUUAGUCUUCCUUCUUUUUGAGUCUUAAUUAUAUUGUUUGGAUAUAUUGGCUAAUCUUUGCUUACAAGUUUUGAUAUAUUAUUUGUCUUUUAUUUUGAAGUUUAUUUCACAUGAACUAACAUUAUUUGUUUAUGAAUUUAGUUGAGAC
rnacentral:lncRNA from 1 species